UACGUAGGUGACCAGCGUUGUCCGGAUUUACUGGGCGUAAAGCGCGCGCAGGCGGUCGUUCAAGUCGAGUGUGAAAGCCCCCGGCUCAACUGGGGAGGGUCAUUCGAUACUGAUCGACUUGAAGGCAGGAGAGGGAAGCGGAAUUCCCGGUGUAGUGGUGAAAUGCGUAGAUAUCGGGAGGAACACCAGUGGCGAAGGCGGCUUCCUGGCCUGUUCUUGACGCUGAGGCGCGAAAGCUAGGGGAGCAAACGGG
rnacentral:rRNA from 1 species